UCAUAGACAUUCAUAAAAAACCUCACUAAGGAUGUCAUUUAGGAGGAAGGAAUAGGAUACUAGAGGCAGUGGGGCUCAAAGAAUCUGUUCAACACAUGGGCAAAUCCAAUUAAGGCUUACCUAAAUUCUGGAGAUAUAAAAAAUUAUGGACAAGAAAAUUGUGUAAGACAGGAGGCAGUGAAGUAAUUGGAGGUAACAGAUAAUGAGCAUCUUGUGUAUCUUGGGAGGAGACUAAUCAUAACGACUAAUGUUAAACAUUGUUAAAUAAAUUAUGGUUAUUCAAAUUGUUAAAAUAUCAUGAAAGUAAGAGAGAGAAGAUAAAAGAGGAAAAAAACCCUGUUUCAGGAAUCAUAUGAAAGCCUGGGGGAUGGGAUGGCCCUUACCCACAGGGAUCAUCAUCUGUAAUAUUGAUCCCUCAACCAGCUGCAGCUAUGUGACAGUGAGGUCCAGAGACGGUCCUCUGGAAAUUCAGACAUGUUGCCUUGAGUGGCUACUCCUCUGACCCCAGAUUAACCCAUAGAGACCAGGAUCAUAAGCAUUUUCCGUGAAGCUAACGAAGCUCAGGCCUCAGGAGCCCACACUUGCCUGCCCCCUUAAGGGCCUUGGGAGAGGCUCUAGCAGUUUGUUCACCUGGUCAGAGACUUUUUUUAAAUGUUGCAAAUAAUUUUAAAUAUAAUCGGUAGACUCCUGUCUCUCUCUCAACUUUCUCUACAUCCAUGUUCUCUUGUAUUAGAAGGCUUUAGAGUAACAAAGUUGACUUAGGGAUAUGAUUAAAUUGGGCUGAGUAGCGCUGAUUUUGUGGUUUGCAGUCAUAUCUGUAUU